rnacentral:rRNA from 1 species
GCGGAAGGAUCAUUACCAAAUAACGUGUCUCCGCAAGGAGACCAAAAGCCCCAACCCCGGCCUGAUGGGAAACCAACAGUGCCAUUAUUAACAACAACCGUUAUGUCGUGUUUACUAGUAGGUAAUUGAGCUAAUUUUUGGCACUUUUACCUAUUGGUUUUAAGACACGAUAGUUUUUUAUUAUAAAAUAUAUACCCCAUUAAAAACAAUCUGGUGGCUUGAUGCUAAAAAAAAAAAACAAAAAAUUUAGACAACUUUUAACGGUGGAUCUCUAGGCUCGUGCAUCGAUGAAGAACGCAGCGAAAUGCGAUACGUAGUGUGAAUUGCAGAUCUUCGUGAAUCAUUGAAUCUUUGAACGCAAAUUGCGGUUCCAGGUAACUCCUGGGACCAUGCCUGGUUGAGUGUCAUCAAAACCUAACACUAUAUGUGGAAUAAAUGAGGUUCACGGGGAAGAAAAUACAUGUAUUUUUGAAACUGGGUGCCUUUAAAUAUAGGUCAAAGUAAUUGCCUUUUCAUGGCUUUACUCAUCAUACGAUGUUUUUACUGGCAAUUUUUUUUUAUUGUUUUGUGAAUUAUGUCUGUGAAGAGAAAAUGCAAGUGAUAAAAGGUAAUAAUUAAUACUAGACAUUAAACAAAGUAAUGCUUUCUUUUGAACCAAAAGACAUUAUUAUAAGAAAUUUGACCUCAACUCAGGC